rnacentral:lncRNA from 1 species
UGGAAUGAGUGUUACUGGUCUGGAAGGGCCUCUGAAGAGUCCAGGAAUAGGUCUGCUAACCAAAGGAAUGACCCCCUCACAGAGACCACCACUGACUGCCAUGUGAGCCGCCGUCCCUCCAGCUGCCCUCACUCCACCGGCUGCUCCCUCUCACAUCCCUCUCUGGAUUCCUUAUCACAAGCCACCCCAAUAAUGAUGCUGAAGACAGAGAACAAAGAGAAGUAGAUGAAAUGACUCACUGAAGAACACUUUUCUAAUUAGGUGCCAACUUAAGAAAACUGGGCUUAUGUCAAAGUCUGAACAUUUAUUCUUUGAGUUCUCCAAUCAAGGGAGCCUGGUCUAUAAGCAUGUAGUGCUUCACAUCAAAACAUACCUCUCCAAUAGCAAUGUCAUAAAAAUGCAGGUGUGUGACCUUUGGCAAACUACUUCAGCUCCCUUGCCUCACAGCGUAAUUCACAUGUAAAAUGGGGACUCCCCUCAGACCUCCUUCAUAAGGUUGCUGUAUGGAUUCUGUGAGUUAUUUCAUGAGUAGUCCUGAGAACAGAGCCUGGCAUAAAAAGUGCUAGCAGAAUAUCAGGAUAAGAUGGACAAAACGCAGGCUGAAAGGCAAGAAAUCUGGCUCUAACACCAAAACCUCAUGCCAGCGUUCUGAGUCUGCAUUUCUUCCCUAUAAAAUACUGGUGAUUCCUAUUUAUAGGCCUUCUUGCCUCCUUGAGAAAAUCAAAUGAGCUACUUGAUGUGAAAGGACUUAAAAACUAUCUUUGUUAUUCUAAUUGAUAAAAUGUAUUUUUUUUUAACAAAUAUUUGUUUAGUAUGCCCAGCACUAUUCUAGGUCUGGGGCACAUAAGAACGAGCAGUAGUAGGCCAUGCGUGGUGGCUCACGCCUGUAAUCCCAGAACUUUGGG